UUUAGUAGUAAAUUAAGAAUAGAGAG
rnacentral:piRNA from 1 species